GUGAAUCAUCGAAUUUUUGAACGCAAAUUGCACUCUCCUCGGAGAGGAGGCCUGUUUGAGGGUCAGCCUCUAAAAAUCGACAUCGUUGCUGUUUCUCGGUGGCGUUCGUCGGAAAGUGUUUCAUCUUUCAUCCUUUUUAUUUAUGCGACUUAAAAUUUUCUUUUUUUUCCAGCAACUUUUCUAAGAUCUAUUUCUUUACACGUUUAAGUUAUCGAUUUUUACUAGACGUUACCAUCAUAUCGGAUCGCAUCCAUAAGCUUUC
rnacentral:misc_RNA from 1 species